rnacentral:rRNA from 1 species
UAGGGAAUCUUCCACAAUGGACGCAAGUCUGAUGGAGCAACGCCGCGUGAGUGAAGAAGGUCUUCGGAUCGUAAAGCUCUGUUGUUGGUGAAGAAGGAUAGAGGCAGUAACUGGUCUUUAUUUGACGGUAAUCAACCAGAAAGUCACGGCUAACUACGUGCCAGCAGCCGCGGUAAUACGUAGGUGGCAAGCGUUGUCCGGAUUUAUUGGGCGUAAAGCGAGCGCAGGCGGAAUGAUAAGUCUGAUGUGAAAGCCCACGGCUCAACCGUGGAACUGCAUCGGAAACUGUCAUUCUUGAGUGCAGAAGAGGAGAGUGGAACUCCAUGUGUAGCGGUGGAAUGCGUAGAUAUAUGGAAGAACACCAGUGGCGAAGGCGGCUCUCUGGUCUGCAACUGACGCUGAGGCUCGAAAGCAUGGGUAGCGAACAGGAUUAGAUACCCUGGUAGUCCAUGCCGUAAACGAUGAGCGCUAGGUGUUGGGGCA